GCCUCACGCAUUGCCCUCCA
rnacentral:snRNA from 1 species